rnacentral:rRNA from 1 species
GAUGAACGCUGGCGGCGUGCCUAAUACAUGCAAGUCGAGCGAACGGACGAGAAGCUUGCUUUUCUGAUGUUAGCGGCGGACGGGUGAGUAACACGUGGAUAACCUACCUAUAAGACUGGGAUAACUUCGGGAAACCGGAGCUAAUACCGGAUAAUAUUUUGAACCGCAUGGUUCAAAAGUGAAAGACGGUCUUGCUGUCACUUAUAGAUGGAUCCGCGCUGCAUUAGCUAGUUGGUAAGGUAACGGCUUACCAAGGCAACGAUGCAUAGCCGACCUGAGAGGGUGACCGGCCACAUGGGACCUAGACACCGGUCCAAACCCCUACGGGAGGCAGCAUUAGGAAAUCUUCCGCAAUGGGCGAAAGCCUGACGGAGCAACGCGGCGUGAGUGAUGAAGGUCUCCGGUUCGUAAAACUCUGUUAUUAGGGAAGAACAUAUGUGUAAGUAACUGUGCACAUCUGACGGUACCUAAUCAGAAAGCCACGGCUAACUACGUG